rnacentral:rRNA from 1 species
AGUUAAGCCUGCCCGGUGAAAUUGGUUUAACGGCCGCAGUACUUUGACUGUGCUAAGGUAGCAAAAUAAAUUGGCUUUUAAUUUAAGUCGAGUAUGAAUGGCAUCAUGGGUGUAAGCUGUCUCAGUUACUUAAUUUUAUGAAUUUAACUGGUAGGUGAAAACGCCUACUGAUUAAUAUUAGACGAGAAGACCCUUAGAGUUUUAAAUAUAUAGUAUUAAUUACUCAUUCUUUUUUGUUGGGGCGACAAAGUAUCAUAUAAAGCAUACUUAAAUAAAUUUUAAGACAAGUCUUCCUUAAAAAUGAGUAUAACUACCUAAGGGAUAACAGCAUAAUUUUUUUUAAGAUUGUGACCUCGAUGUUGGACUAGGGACUUAAUAUAUUAGCCAUACA